UUCUCAAUAGACAAAAUAAAUAUGUAUUAAGUUAUGAAAAGCAAUUACAAAUGUUUAUGUUAUGAAACCCAAGCUUUUAGAACUUUUAAAACCAACUGUAGAAUCCCCCAUUGGAACUGUUAUGAAUUCACAAUACUGUUGAGUUCUAGCCUGGCAUAGGCUAGCCUUACUUUUAAAUACUUCUAAACAUACAUGGUAAUAUUUUUGGAAUCUCUAUUUGAACACAAAAUUUUCCGUGUUAAGAAGAGGAAAUGGUCAUUCAUUUAGUUAACAUAAAAGAAAAAAAUCACAGUGAAACUAAGUGAUCAGUGAAUAUAGGCAAUAUGGAUUAGCCUCCCAAGCUUAAUAAAUGAGAUUAGUGAAACAAGAUCAUAUCCUGAGUACACUUAUCAGAAACACAAACAGGCAAAACCUUCAUCAUUAGACAUCAUGCAAGGUAUGGCUCAGCAGGAAAAGGCAUGCUGCUGAGCCUCAUGACUCCAGUUUGAUUCCUGGGAGUGAGUGGCAGAGUAGGAGAGAACUGACUCCUACAAGUUGUCUUCUGACAGCCACACAUGCUAUGAAGCGCCUCCACGUAGCAUAAUGGAAGAAAUCAGAAGGAGCAUGGACGGCCACUUUCCAUCUUGCACUCGGUGUGCACCUCUAGGCUUACUCUCUAUGUGGCCUUGAGAAAUCACCUAAUUUCUUUGGAACCAGGCUCCUUGGUGAUAAAUGUGGGUUAUAAAAGCUUCAUACUGCGGCUUCCUGCACACGUCUUGGUGACUGUGAACUACAGCUCCAUCACACACCAUUUUUCCUGUAUGAGAAAGCAUUAAAAUGUUUCCUAACAGCCA